rnacentral:rRNA from 1 species
UCCCUGGACCAUACCACGUUGAAAGCACGCCAUCCCGUCCGAUUUGGCAAGUUAAGCAACGUUGGGCCUCCUUAGUACUUGGAACGGAGACGUCCUGGGAAUCGGCGGUGUUGUAGGCC